CAGAAUUACACAGAAAAAAGCCACCUAAUAUCUCAACUUAGCAGCCAAACUCAAAACUGAAUAUAAUCAGUUGUUAUAUUUCAGCUACUUCACAAUAAAUUUAGAUUUCUAAAGAUAGUAAUAGUAUAUGUAUUUAAUAUAUAUACUUGUACCAUCU